UAGGGAAUCUUCGGCAAUGGACGAAAGUCUGACCGAGCAACGCCGCGUGAGUGAAGAAGGUUUUCGGAUCGUAAAACUCUGUUGUUAGAGAAGAACAAGGACGUUAGUAACUGAACGUCCCCUGACGGUAUCUAACCAGAAAGCCACGGCUAACUACGUGCCAGCAGCCGCGGUAAUACGUAGGUGGCAAGCGUUGUCCGGAUAUAUUGGGCGUAAAGCGAGCGCAGGCGGUUUCUUAAGUCUGAUGUGAAAGCCCCCGGCUCAACCGGGGAGGGUCAUUUGAAACUGGGAGACUUGAGUGCAGAAGAGGAGAGUGGAAUUCCAUGUGUAGCGGUGAAAUGCGUGGAUAUAUGGAGGAACACCAGUGGCGAAGGCGGCUCUCUGGUCUGUAACUGACGCUGAGGCUCGAAAGCGUGGGGAGCAAACAGG
rnacentral:rRNA from 1 species